rnacentral:rRNA from 1 species
GCACUAAUCCCCCCAGGGGAACCUGGCCCUUAAUUCGAUGACCCACGAACCUCUUACCUUUUCUAGUUCUGCCUUUAGCCGGCUCUAAUAAAGGCAGCUAAUACAGGCGGAGACCUUUCAGUUUGCAUACCGCCGUUUCGUAGCUUGUAUCGCGAGAGGACCUAAACAGGCGCCACAGCGGCUUUACAUAAAAUAUAGCCUCUCUAUUAAUUCAGGUAAACGUGUAGCCCAUGGAAAGGGGAAGCUGGGUUACAAUUGGGGCUUAAGAAUAGAGUGACUACCUUAAGGGUAAGGCAAAAGAGGACUUGGAAGUAACAACCUUGGAUAAUGAGGUAGUGAAUAGAGCUCUAGUGUGUGU